GGCGUGCCUAAUACAUGCAAGUCGAGCGAACGGACGAGAGUGCUUGCACUCUCUGAUGUUAGCGGCGGACGGGUGAGUAACACGUGGGUAACCUACCUAUAAGACUGGGAUAACUUCGGGAAACCGGAGCUAAUACCGGAUAAUAUUUAGCUUCGCAUGAAGCAAUAGUGAAAGACGGUUCUGCUGUCACUUAUAGAUGGACCCGCGGUGUAUUAGCUAGUUGGUGAGGUAACGGCUCACCAAGGCAACGAUACAUAGCCGACCUGAGAGGGUGAUCGGCCACACUGGGACUGAGACACGGCCCAGACUCCUACGGGAGGCAGCAGUAGGGAAUCUUCCGCAAUGGACGAAAGUCUGACGGAGCAACGCCGCGUGAGUGAAGAAGGUUUUCGGAUCGUAAAACUCUGUUGUAAGGGAAGAACAAGUACGUUAGUAACUGAACGUACCUUGACGGUACCUUACCAGAAAGCCACGGCUAACUACGUGCCAGCAGCCGCGGUAAUACGUAGGUGGCAAGCGUUAUCCGGAAUUAUUGGGCGUAAAGCGCGCGUAGGCGGUCUCUUAAGUCUGAUGUGAAAGCCCCCGGCUCAACCGGGGAGGGUCAUUGGAAACUGGGAGACUUGAGUGCAGAAGAGGAGAGUGGAAUUCCAUGUGUAGCGGUGAAAUGCGCAGAGAUAUGGAGGAACACCAGUGGCGAAGGCGGCUCUCUGGUCUGUAACUGACGCUGAGGUGCGAAAGCGUGGGGAUCAAACAGGAUUAGAUACCCUGGUAGUCCACGCCGUAAACGAUGAGUGCUAAGUGUUGGGGGGUUUCCGCCCCUCAGUGCUGCAGCUAACGCAUUAAGCACUCCGCCUGGGGAGUACGGUCGCAAGACUGAAACUCAAAGGAAUUGACGG
rnacentral:rRNA from 1 species